rnacentral:rRNA from 1 species
UACGAAGGGGGCGAGCGUUGUUCGGAUUUACUGGGCGUAAAGGGCGCGCAGGCGGCCAUUCAAGUCAGGCGUGAAAGCCCCGGGCUUAACCUGGGAGGUGCGUCUGGGACUGGGUGGCUGGAGAUCGGGAGAGGAGAGUGGAAUUCCCAGUGUAGAGGUGAAAUUCGUAGAUAUUGGGAAGAACACCGAUGGCGAAGGCAGCCAUCUGGACCGACACUGACGCUGAGGCGCGAAAGCGUGGGGAGCAAACAGG